GGGUCGACCGAGAAUCGUCGGUCGGGUUCUCCGACCGACUUUCUCGUGGGGAGGUUCUGGCCAUGAUGCUAGAACCGAAGUCAAAAAAUGAGAAGAAGGAAAGGAAUUUCAAGGAAGCAAGGAGAAAACGAAAGACAACGACAGAGCCUCCUGGAAAACUCUCUAAGGAAGGAGGCGGGGACAACUACCUGAGGCAAGGGACCGCUCGGCC
rnacentral:lncRNA from 1 species